UAAUAAGUAGUGAUAUCCUCCUCUGGUGCCUAUGUUUGUAGAUCCACAUACAUCACUAUGUACUAGAUCUAGAACAUCACUGACUCUUUCAUCCUUUUUAGUAAAGGGUGACUUGGUCAUCUUCUCAAGAAGACAGGACUCACAGGUCGGCAAUAAUUCACAAUCAUUGAUAUCGAAGAUUCUCUCUUUAAUUAAUCUAUUUAUCCUAUUCUUCUUUAUAUGAUCGAGCCUACAAUGCCAAAGAUAGACA
rnacentral:lncRNA from 1 species